rnacentral:misc_RNA from 1 species
UUGUGCUCAGAGUCCUUAUAACUCCGGAAUUCAUUUUGCACGCACAGGACAUCUGCUGAUUUUGCAGAAAGGGUCCUGGGAAGCUUCUCAAAAUUUAGAAGGCUCCUUAUGCAAGACGUAGGGGUGUGUUAAUGAGCUACCCCUUUUCUAUCCUCCCGAUAUUCUAGAUGGCUUAACCCUUUUCUAUCCUCCCGAUAUUCUAGGUGGCA